GUGUUAGAGGGUUUCCGCCCUUUAGUGGCUGAAGUUAACGCAUUAAGCACUCCGCCUGGGGAGUACGGCCGCAAGGCUGAAACUCAAAGGAAUUGACGGGGGCCCGCACAAGCGGGGGAGCAUGUGGUUUAAUUCGAAGCAACGCGAAGAACCUUACCAGGUCUUGACAUCCUCUGACAACCCUAAAGAUAGGGCUUCUCCUUCGGGAGCAGAGUGACAGGUGGUGCAUGGUUGUCGUCAGCUCGUGUCGUGAGAUGUUGGGUUAAGUCCCGCAACGAGCGCAACCCUUGAUCUUAGUUGCCAUCAUUUAGUUGGGCACUCUAAGGUGACUGCCGGUGACAAACCGGAGGAAGGUGGGGAUGACGUCAAAUCAUCAUGCCCCUUAUGACCUGGGCUACACACGUGCUACAAUGGACGGUACAAAGAGCUGCAAGACCGCGAGGUGGAGCUAAUCUCAUAAAACCGUUCUCAGUUCGGAUUGUAGGCUGCAACUCGCCUACAUGAAGCUGGAAUCGCUAGUAAUCGCGGAUCAGCAUGCCGCGGUGAAUACGUUCCCGGGCCUUGUACACACCGCCCGUCACACCACGAGAGUUUGUAACACCCGAAGUCGGUGGGGUAACCUUUUUGGAGCCAGCCGCCUAAGGUGGGACAGAUGAUUGGGGUGAAGUCGUACAAGGGUAACCGAA
rnacentral:rRNA from 1 species